rnacentral:rRNA from 1 species
CCUACGGGUGGCUGCAGUCGAGAAUCUUCGGCAAUGGGCGCAAGCCUGACCGAGCGACGCCGCGUGCGGGAUGAAGGCCUUCGGGUUGUAAACCGCUGUCAGGGGGGAUCAAAACAAUGAGAGAUCCCCAGAGGAAGCACGGGCUAAGUUCGUGCCAGCAGCCGCGGUAAGACGAACCGUGCGAACGUUGUUCGGAAUCACUGGGCUUAAAGGGCGCGUAGGCGGCCUACCCAGUCGGGGGUGAAAUCUUUCGGCUUAACCGGAAAAUUGCCUUCGAUACUGGUAGGCUCGAGGAAGGUAGGGGCAGAGGGAACUUCCGGUGGAGCGGUGAAAUGUGUUGAUAUCGGAAGGAACGCCGGUGGCGAAAGCGCUCUGCUGGACCUUUUCUGACGCUGAGGCGCGAAAGCUAGGGUAGCGAACGGGAUUAGAUACCCUUGUAG